rnacentral:rRNA from 1 species
CAAAGGAAGGGCCUCUCCUCACUCAUCUGGUUCAUCGCCUGGUCUAUUUGGAAGCACCGCAACUAUUGCGUGUUCGACGGCGGCUCCCCCUUAGCCACGCAGCUAUGCCUAGACAUCUGCGAAGAAGCGCGCUCCUGGAUCAAGGUAGGAGCGACCUGGUUAGCCGCCAUAGCACCGUAG